GGGGGGGGGAAGGGUUGGAGCCGGAGUGUGCACUGUUGUUAGCUUGUGGGUCCAUGACGCCUCUGCGCAUGUGACGCCCAUGAAGCUCCAGCUCCUGGAUUCGUGCGAUGGCGAUGCACGCGCACCCGGCUCCGGAACAAACCCCGCGGUGCUCGCAACGGGUGAGUGAGACAUGGAAGGAGAGCAGAACGCCUGGGCGAAGAUAUACGACGGGCGUGUGAGAGGAGGGAUUUUACAGCCAUUUACAAAAAGCACAUCAGAACCCAGAGGCUAUGUAUGGAACAACUUUUCUACUUUCAUUUAAAAUAUACCAAAGCAGCAAAUUAUAUUGCUAUCGAAGAACAGUAGCUUGGAUCCUGCUCUGGAUGAAGUUGGCAAAACUUCCAUUGAAUUCACUGGAAAUAGCAUCAAACUCCA